rnacentral:rRNA from 1 species
UACGUAGGGCGCAAGCGUUAUCCGGAAUCAUUGGGUUUAAAGGGUCCGUAGGCGGCCAAAUAAGUCAGUGGUGAAAGCCCAUCGCUCAACGAUGGAACGGCCAUUGAUACUGUUUGGCUUGAAUUAUUAGGAAGUAACUAGAAUAUGUAGUGUAGCGGUGAAAUGCUUAGAGAUUACAUGGAAUACCAAUUGCGAAGGCAGGUUACUACUAAUAUAUUGACGCUGAUGGACGAAAGCGUGGGGAGCGAACAGG